UUUUGGCCCAGCCUGCUCCUGUUUGGUCGGUUCCGGUGCCCGUACGGCGGAGAUCCGCCCCCUCAAACAGGGGUGUGUCGUGACGUCAGAGGUAACGAAGAGAAGAUAGCCAAGAGGGGGAGGAAGCUGUUCCUGGACUCCUACAGUUCUUAGACUUCAUAAAGUACAAAAAUAACAGGACUUAUUGAAAACAGACAGAAAAAAAUCUGAAACCUCAUACCGUGGUCGUUCUGUUUUCGUCCAGAGGCUCACCGGGAGCUGCAAUACGGAGAUCCGACUACACC